AUCUUCCAGAAGGACAUGGGCAAACCAUAUUUACUGCAACCACUGCUAUAGUUGUAUUGACGGUGUUGCUAAUUGGGGGUUCAACUGGUACCAUGCUGGAAGCUUUACAAGUUGUUGGAGAUGGCCAUGAUGGCUCCAUGAGAGAAUUUCAGAGUUUUGAGGGAAAUAAUGGUUACAUUGCUCCCUCAUAUGACGAUGAUGACACAUCAGGGAACAGGUUGAAAAUGAAACUUAAAGAAUUCCACAGGAGUGCAGCAUCAUUCACAGCAUUAGAUAGGAAUUACCUUACUCCUUUCUUCACAAGUCAAAAUGGAGAUGAAGAAGAUCAUGAUGACCCAAUGCCCAGUUCAAGAAGAGGGGGCUUCCAUGGCAAUGACUAAUAUCCGGUGACAGUUUCGAGUAACACAUAUGACACCAUAUUUAAUCAGCUUUGUAGAUAAUUAUUUACUGAUGACAGGCAGAAAGGUUUCAUAGUCACUCAAAUGCCUACCUGCCGACUGAGAUGCAAGGUUAUACAUUUGUAGAUGUCAUACCAAUUAGACAUUUUCUGAGCAGUUAAACAUAUAAGAAUUAUCAGUGCGUCUAUUGCAAUUUUUCUUGUUCUAGUACAUCUACUUACAUUUAAAAAUUGCAAUAGACGCACUGAUAAUUC
rnacentral:misc_RNA from 1 species